rnacentral:rRNA from 1 species
UACGGAGGGUGCAAGCGUUAAUCGGAAUUACUGGGCGUAAAGGGUGCGUAGGUGGUUUGGUAAGUUAUCUGUGAAAUCCCCGGGCUCAACCUGGGCAGGUCAGAUAAUACUGCUGAACUCGAGUAUGGGAGAGGGUAGUGGAAUUUCCGGUGCAGCGGUGAAAUGCGUAGAGAUCGGAAGGAACACCAGUGGCGAAGGCGGCUCACUGGACUGGUACUGACGCUGAGGCGCGAAAGCGUGGGGAGCAAACGGG